UACAGAGGGUGCAAGCGUUAAUCGGAGUUACUGGGCGUAAAGGGCGCGUAGGUGGUUAUUUAAGUUUGAUGUGAAAUCCCUGGGCUUAACCUAGGAACUGCAUUGAAAACUGGAUAACUGGAGUACUGUAGAGGGUAGUGGAAUUUCCGGUGUAGCGGUGAAAUGCGUAGAGAUCGGAAGGAACACCAGUGGCGAAGGCGGCUACCUGGACAGAUACUGACACUGAGGCGCGAGAGCGUGGGGAGCAAACAGGG
rnacentral:rRNA from 1 species